rnacentral:rRNA from 1 species
GUGACCCCAGGAUGGGCGAGGCCACCCGCCGAGUUUAAGC